GACGAACGCUGGCGGCGUGCUUAACACAUGCAAGUCGAACGGCAAGGCCCUGAUUUUGUGGGGUGCUCGAGUGGCGAACGGGUGAGUAAGACGUGAGUAACCUGCCCUUGUCUUUGGGGUAACUUCAGGUAACUGGGGCUAAUACCGGAUAGGAGCUCAUGCUGCAUGGUGGGGGUUGGAAAGUUUCGGCGGUUGGGGAUGGACUCGCGGCUGAUCGGCUUGUUGGUGGGGUAGUGGCUUACCAAGGCUGGGACGGGUAGCCGGCCUGAGAGGGUGAACGGCGACAUGGGGACUAAGGUACGGACCAGUGUCGAACAGGAGACAGCAGGGGGGAAUAUUGCACAGUGAGCGGAAGCCGGAGGCAGCAACGCUGCGUGCGGGAUGACGGCCUGCGGGUUGUAAACCGCUUUCGCCUGAGACGAAGCGUGAGUGACGGUACUGGGUGAAGAAGCACCGGCUAACUACGUG
rnacentral:rRNA from 1 species